rnacentral:tRNA from 1 species
GGAAAAGUAGUCUAAAAAAAGGACGUCGGUUUCAUAAUUCGAAAGUGGUAAAUAACCCUUUUCUA